UACGUAGGGUGCAAGCGUUGUCCGGAAUUAUUGGGCGUAAAGAGCUCGUAGGCGGUCUGUCGCGUCUGCUGUGAAAACUCAGGGCUUAACCCUGAGCUUGCAGUGGGUACGGGCAGACUAGAGUGCGGUAGGGGAGACUGGAAUUCCUGGUGUAGCGGUGAAAUGCGCAGAUAUCAGGAGGAACACCGGUGGCGAAGGCGGGUCUCUGGGCUGAUACCGACGGCUGGAGGCGCGAAAGCCAGGGGAGCAAACGGG
rnacentral:rRNA from 1 species